GAUCCUGGCUUAGGAUGAACGCUAGCUACAGGCUUAACACAUGCAAGUCGAGGGGCAGCAUGAUCUUAGCUUGCUAAGAUUGAUGGCGACCGGCGCACGGGUGAGUAACGCGUAUCCAACCUCCCCUUAGUAGGGCAUAGCCCGGUGAAAAUCGGAUUAAUACCCUAUGUUUUCCAAUGAGGACAUCUGAGCUGGAACAAAGAUUGAUCGCUAAGGGAUGGGGGAUGCGUCCGAUUAGGUAGUCGGCGGGGUAACGGCCCACCGAGCCAUCGAUCGGUAGGGGUUCUGAGAGGAAGGUCCCCCACACUGGUACUGAGACACGGACCAGACUCCUACGGGAGGCAGCAGUGAGGAAUAUUGGUCAAUGGACGUAAGUCUGAACCAGCCAAGUAGCGUGCAGGAUGACGGCCCUAUGGGUUGUAAACUGCUUUUGCGGGAGGAUAAAGGACACUACGUGUAGUGUUUUGCAGGUAUCCCGUGAAUAAGGACCGGCUAAUUCCGUGCCAGCCGCUGC
rnacentral:rRNA from 1 species